GAGAGAGCAGGGAUAAGUAAGGAUAAAGGAACCUCAGGAUACACAAGUCAAAAUUAAAUUAAAAUUGAGCCUAUUUGCUUUCUAAAUACAUCCUUGUAGCCUUAUUUUGAGCAAUUUCAGUGGAGCAUGUUAUUGCAAAGAAGAAAAUGUGUCUUUUUAAUUUUUAAUCAAAAAUGGAAUGACUUUCUCCUUCUCUGAAAUGACUUCCCUUUUCCGUUGAUCUCCAAAUAGGCAUUUAGGCAUUGUUUUAGCAAUCCUAUUUCGAGUUUUGCUUCAUUCUGGUUGAUAUCGCCGCCUUCACACAAUGAUUAAAAUCAAGUCAAGCCCAUUACCUGACACAGAGCAACACAUAAAUACUGAGGGGAAGCAGAAAACAGAAGCUCCGAGAACUGGAGUUGAAAACGUUUGCCGUUUUGAAACCAAGCUCUUUGUCUGUGGCCGGCUGGGCUCUGGAGAUGCGACCCUCUGCCAUCAGCACACUCUCGGAUAGCAGCAAGCUGUGCUCGAUCCAUAAGAUGAUUACUACUCUGAAUGAACCCAGACAUUUUUCAACACCUGGCUGCGUCUAUCUGUGCGUCACGUUGGAAACUAAAUGAGUAUGCAAGAGAAUGAAACAAAUGAAUGUUCGAAAAAAUAAAUGUGUGAGUGAAUGAAUCAGGUAUUCGGUGUUACAAUAAGGGAAUAAUAGUGACACACUGAGUAAAAAUGAAACAGUGAAUGGCAUGCUUGUAGUCAUACAUUGGAGCAAGUCGGUGAAUGAAUAAAUUAAUGACUAAAUGCAUUAGUCUGUGAGAGAUCAAUCAAUCAAUGAAUCAGUAUUACAUUAGGUUAGUGAUAGUGAUGCAAGUGAAUCACUAUACGACUCAAAGCGAGUGUGCAGCGGAGUAAAUGAUUCAGUGUGUUGCACUGAGCAAAUGAGUGACACAUUGAGCACGUCAAUCGCUAAAAUUAACAGUCAGCGACAAACAACUGAAUGAAAGAUUCAGUUACAUGUUGAAAAAGUGCAAGAGUGAUACUUUCAGUGAAUUAAAGUAUAUUCAUAAUGAAUAAACAAGCAAUAAACUGAAUAAAUGAGCUCUUUUUCAUGACGUGUAUCUUCUCACUCGAUCCGUGUUUCACACGACAAGAGUAAAAGAGCUUCACUAAAGGAGAUAAAUGCUUUCGCUCAUGCUAAAUGGCAGGGAAAUGUCAACGCAUUGUCCAGGCCGGUGUCACCUUUAGUCACGCCUCAUUUACAUACCUCACGGAUCCAGCCAAUCUGAAGGAAUCUCAUGGAAAGGGCGCAUGCUGAUAGGCUAUUGUAUAGUAUGACCGCUGAGGGAUAUUUACGCCCUGCUGCCUGCUAAAAGACUGUUAUCGGGAUUCAUUAGUUAGGAAGCAGAGGUUUUCAUUUGCGUUUCUCUGUACAUUUAGACCAGGGCACUCAAGCAGUAAGGGCAGCCUGGAGCUGUCAGGAGAAUCCACUGAUAUUAAAAACCUAAAGAUUGUUAGCAAAAAGUGUGUCUGAAAAUAGUGGUGUGAAUGGCUCAGAAGAGGGGUGAUUUAGCUCCUACAAAAUGGCCCAAUUAUGUGCACUUAUAAAAGCAGAGAUCACGGUUACUAAUUCAGCUUUUAGCUUUUGUGGUCCUUUCUGUUUCUACCAAUUUCAUUCUUUUUCUCCAUUCACUUUUUUUCACCGAAUUACGUAUGCUUUCUGAGUCCUUUGCUGAGGCAAGGGUUACAAAGGCAAGGAUGAAAACACAUUGCAUAUCAUGUAAAACGAGGGUGACAGAGAGUCAUCACUUAAAGGGAUUUCAAAUUUGAGCGAUAGUGACGGCUGAGAUGGAAAAAACAAAGGUUAUUACAUAAAAGGAUCUUUAAAAAGAAAUUGAAAUAAGGUGUAAUCAGUUAAAAAGGAUUUCAGAAAGAAUGACGGCGCCAGUAUAAAUAUAUUCCAAAGAUGAUAAAAGCUAACCAGCAUGAAAAGAGACUGCUCCAAUGCUAGCAUGGACUCCAAGGUUGUGUUUAACAUAUUUACCACUUACCAGCGCUACAAGAGAACCAUUAAUGGAUAUGGAAUAUGUCUGAUGAAGCCAGCGCUGGAGAGGGAGUGCUCAAUAAAUUCAUUCUAGUACAUUUGCUAAAAA